rnacentral:rRNA from 1 species
CCUACGGGAGGCAGCAGUGAGGAAUAUUGGUCAAUGGGCGUAAGCCUGAACCAGCCAAGUCGCGUGAGGGAUGAAGGUUCUAUGGAUCGUAAACCUCUUUUAUAAGGGAAUAAAGUGCGGUACGUGUCCCGUUUUGUAUGUACCUUAUGAAUAAGGAUCGGCUAACCCCGUGCCAGCAGCCGCGGUAAUACGGGGGAUCCGAGCGUUUUCCGGAUUUAUUGGGUUUAAAGGGUGCGUAGGCGGCCUUUUAAGUCAGCGGUGAAAGUCUGUGGCUCAACCAAAGAAUUGCCGUUGAAACUGGGAGGCUUGAGUAGGGUGGAGGCAGGGGGAAUGCGGGGUGUAGCGGUGAAAUGGUUA